GUUCAAAGCCCAGCCCUGCCACUCACCAGCUGUGUCUUCUGAAGCCUUGGAUGUCUCACCAGCAAACUUCCAAGUCGAGUAAAUGAACUGAAAACCAUCAUGUGGGUGAAAUCUCUGGGCACACAGCAGCAGGAAGGUGGCAGUCUGCAAGCCAGGGAGAGAACGCUCAGCAGAAACCAAAUCAGCGGCACCUUGACCUUGGACUUCCAGCCUCCACAACUGUGAGAAAACAAACUUCUGUUUAAGCCCCCGAGGCUAUGGUAUUUUGUUACCGCUGUCUCAGCGGACUAGGACAGAUAGUGAUUCUGGUUUUACAGGUAUUGAAAGUAAGUGCAGCAGGUGACAGGAGUUGCCCAAGGCCACCCAGUUGCUACAUGGCAAACCGGGACUUGGGCCUCCCAAGGCCAGUGCUCCUUACAGUUUUCACAGCUGUCCCUUUCGACCGUAACGAGCCGUGCGCUGACAAUGCGGUUGGACUCCUGAGAUUCUGACGUGUAGGGCGGCCAAAGAGCGUCCCGAGAGCCCUAACUCCGUGGGAUGUGGACGCUAUGGAUCCACCUGUAUCCCCCAAAUAAGGAGAGGUGUCCUUAUAGAAGAUGGAAAUUUGGACAGAGACACACACAGAGGAAGGGCGACGUGAAGAGACACGAGGAGAAGACGCUGUGAAGACGGAGGAUUGGAAUCAUGCAUCUUUAACGCAAGGACCACCCGAGGCUGCCAGAGGCUGAGAGAGAGGCCUGGGAUACCUCCACCCCCGACACUUUCAGAGAGAGCAUGGCCCUACCAACGUCUUGAGCCUCUCACCAGUCUUUUCUGUUGAUGACAGUGGGGGGAAAUUCAAAUUUAACUUCACCCGCUCGCUUCUGAUUUUAAACUUUGAUUCUUCUGGAUAGUUAGCCAAAUUUAGAUUCUUCCCUUUCCCCUUAU